GAUGAACGCUGGCGGCGUGCCUAAUACAUGCAAGUCGAGCGAACAGACGAGGAGCUUGCUCCUUCGACGUUAGCGGCGGACGGGUGAGUAACACGUAGGUAACCUACCUAUAAGACUGGGAUAACUUCGGGAAACCGGAGCUAAUACCGGAUAAUAUUUCGAACCGCAUGGUUCGAUAGUGAAAGAUGGCUUUGCUAUCACUUAUAGAUGGACCUGCGCCGUAUUAGCUAGUUGGUAAGGUAACGGCUUACCAAGGCAACGAUACGUAGCCGACCUGAGAGGGUGAUCGGCCACACUGGAACUGAGACACGGUCCAGACUCCUACGGGAGGCAGCAGUAGGGAAUUUUCCGCAAUGGGCGAAAGCCUGACGGAGCAACGCCGCGUGAGUGAUGAAGGUCUUCGGAUCGUAAAACUCUGUUAUUAGGGAAGAACAAACGUGUAAGUAACUGUGCACGUCUUGACGGUACCUAAUCAGAAAGCCACGGCUAACUACGUG
rnacentral:rRNA from 1 species